rnacentral:misc_RNA from 1 species
CAUUCCCUUCUUCACAAUAUCCAACAAGCCUAACCAAAUGUUUAUGGUGAAGCCUUGACAAGAAUGUUAAUUCAGUUUCAAAAAAAAACUGUCUUCCUCCUGAAACUUCUUCCUCUGAUGACCUAUGUCUCCUCUCUUGACAGCCACUUCCCUACCAUCUGGUAGUUUCCCUCUAUAAACAACAAANNNNNNNNNNNNAAUCUUGUUCUGUAGUGAGAAAUCAUUGGUCGCAGCAGCAAGUUGAGCCAGAGAAAAUUCCUCUACCCUAUACAGUCUCCUUACAUGUGGGGUUGGCCUUUGUGCAGUAUUCCCUGAAAGUCUAGAAGACAAUAGACCAAAGGCAAAGAAUACAGGCCAAACCGAAACUUUGAUAGGAUUAUCAAAAUGCUGAGACAAAAAAGCAUAUGAUAUU